CAGCCGCCGCGGGAAUACGUAGGGUGCAAGCGUUAAUCGGAAUUACUGGGCGUAAAGCGUGCGCAGGCGGUUAUAUAAGACAGAUGUGAAAUCCCCGGGCUCAACCUGGGAACUGCAUUUGUGACUGUAUAGCUAGAGUACGGCAGAGGGGGAUGGAAUUCCGCGUGUAGCAGUGAAAUGCGUAGAUAUGCGGAGGAACACCGAUGGCGAAGGCAAUCCCCUGGGCCUGUACUGACGCUCAUGCACGAAAGCGUGGGGAGCAAACAGGAUUAGAUACCCGCGUAGUCCCUGUCUCUUAUAU
rnacentral:rRNA from 1 species